rnacentral:rRNA from 1 species
GGCAGGCCUAACACAUGCAAGUCGGACGGUAGCACAGAGGAGCUUGCUCCUCGGGUGACGAGUGGCGGACGGGUGAGUAAUGUCUGGGAAACUGCCCGAUGGAGGGGGAUAACUACUGGAAACGGUAGCUAAUACCGCAUAACGUCGCAAGACCAAAGUGGGGGACCUCCGGGCCUCACACCAUCGGAUGUGCCCAGAUGGGAUUAGCUUGUAGGCGGGGUAACGGCCCACCUAGGCGACGAUCCCUAGCUGGUCUGAGAGGAUGACCAGCCACACUGGAACUGAGACACGGUCCAGACUCCUACGGGAGGCAGCAGUGGGGAAUAUUGCACAAUGGGCGCAAGCCUGAUGCAGCCAUGCCGCGUGUAUGAAGAAGGCCUUCGGGUUGUAAAGUACUUUCAGCGGGGAGGAAGGUGUUGAGGUUAAUAACCUCAGCAAUUGACGUUACCCGCAGAAGAAGCACCGGCUAACUCCGUGCCAGCAGCCGCGGUAAUACGGAGGGUGCAAGCGUUAAUCGGAAUUACUGGGCGUAAAGCGCACGCAGGCGGUCUGUUAAGUCAGAUGUGAAAUCCCCGGGCUUAACCUGGGAACUGCAUUUGAAACUGGCAGGCUUGAGUCUCGUAGAGGGGGGUAGAAUUCCAGGUGUAGCGGUGAAAUGCGUAGAGAUCUGGAGGAAUACCCGGUGGCGAAGGCGGCCCCCUGGACGAAGACUGACGCUCAGG